GCUUAGUUGGUAAAGCACAAGGCUCUUAACCUUAUGGACGUGGAUUCAAGCCCCGU
rnacentral:tRNA from 1 species